CUUGCCAACGGUGAAAUACCACUACUCUUGACGUCAGUUUACUUAUCUCGUUGCCUAGAAACGGUGUUGGUCUCCAACACUUCAUUUCUGGAAUUAAGCGCAACCCGCUCCGCGGUGUUCGUGAUCUAUGCGAGAGACAUAGUCAGAUGGGGAGUUUGGCUGGGGCGGCACAUCUGUUAAAAGAGAUAACACAGGUGUCCUAAGAGGAGCUCAAUGAGAACAGAAAUCUCAUGUAGAACAAAAGGGUAAAAGCUCCUUUGAUUUUGAUUUUCAGUACGAAUACAAACUGUGAAAGCAUGGCCUAUCGAUCCUUUGGCCUUUAAAGGUUUUAAGCCAGAGGUGUCAGAAAAGUUACCACAGGGAUAACUGGCUUGUGGCAGCCAAGCGUUCAUAGCGACGUUGCUUUUUGAUUCUUCGAUGUCGGCUCUUCCUAUCAUUGCCUCGCAGCAGAGGCCAAGUGUCGGAUUGUUCAUCCACCAACAGGGAACGUGAGCUGGGUUUAGACCGUCGUGAGACAGGUUAGUUUUACCCUACCAAUGAAGUCGUCGUCUU
rnacentral:ncRNA from 1 species